UUUUUUUUUUUUUUUUUUUUUUUUUUGGUGAUACUGUUCAUGGAGGCUGGAGGACAGGAAGGCUGGGAAGGUCCUGGGCCUCUUACUUUUUACCCAUCGAAAAUCCUCUUUGCUCUCUUACUCUUUACCCCUCCCUUCUUCAAUGUGCAGUUUUGUCAUUUCUAUUUCAGGAACCAAGAGUUAGGCAAUGCUCUGCAAUCACAUCUCCUGCAAGAGGAUUUUAAAGGAAGUCUUCACAAUUCAGGUGUAAAAGCUACUGUGAACAGGAAGCUCGGUGCUGUGAGGGUAGUGAUGGUGGGGAGGGCUACCUGUGACUAGCCAUGCGAAAAGAAGCUGUCAGUAGGAACAGAAAGGGAGAAGGGGAGGACCAUCAGGCACCUACUAUGUGUCAGGCAGUGGGUAUUUAUCGCCUCAUUCUCUCUGCAUUGUUGACUGCUCUAGUGAUGAGGAAAGUGGAAUCAUUUUUUCCCAAAGAGCUCAAGCUGGGUGCUGCAGCUGGCAUUCAACUAAUUUUCUUGGUUCCAAGCUUCCUUUUCCUUCCUCUAAAUUUUGUUGGAAUUGGUGGAAAUAAAAGUGGUUGAGGUGUGAUAUGGAGUACCCCGAGGGUGUUGCUGGUCGAAGCAUGGGAUUGGGCCCUGUCUUCCGCAGGAGUUUAGGAAGAGUCAGGCCUGCUGCCUUGGGUAUGCCUGGACAGGCUGAGAUCACCAGGGAAGACAGUUCACCCAUCAACUGCAGGUGUGAUGGAGAAGGGAUGGUCUGGGAAGUAGUAGCUGAGACACGAGGAGCAUGCUAAGGAAUACAUGUCAGGAUACAGCCAGGGUAGAAUGCAUAAUCGGCAUGUGUGGGCCUUCCUUUCCACCCCCAAUACUGCAAAACAG
rnacentral:lncRNA from 1 species